rnacentral:tRNA from 1 species
UCCCAGGUAGCUUAAUGGUAAAGCACCCAACCGGCAAUUGGGGGAUCUGGGUUCAAUUCCCGGUCUAGGCU